rnacentral:ncRNA from 1 species
AUAUCUACGUUGAAAAGGAGAGUACCUUUUAAUUAAGUCAAAGCGAGUCAGGGACGGUGGGAGCCUGAUAUGGCGUUAAAAGCGAAGAACACCUUGGAGUUACUUAUCGAAAGCAAUUAUUUGUAAGUAGGCUAAGUCGUACACCUGCGUUAAAGGGAAAGGGUAAGAAUAUUCUAUUCUUAAACUAGGGUGGUACCGCGGAUCAACAGUCAUUCGUCCCUUUU